AAUCCCCUUCGAUCUGAUGUGAUCUGAACUGUUCUCUGCCUCUGCCGUCUGCUGUCUGCUGUCUCAGUAAACAAUGUAUAUGCAGCGGCUAAUUGCAUAUUUCGGAAGUUCGAUAAAGGCAUUGAAGGUGGACGAAUUCUAACGGUGUCCAUUAAUUAACCUCUAAAAGGCAAUGCCAGCCACCGAGAACAAUCUCUGAACUGAACUGAGCUGUUGCCGAGCAGCCAACUAACUGGAUUAGUCUGCA